AUUGAACGCUGGCGGCAUGCUCUACACAUGCAAGUCGAACGGUAACAGGGUGCUUGCACCGCUGACGAGUGGCGAACGGGUGAGUAAUGCGUCGGAACGUGCCGAGUAGUGGGGGAUAACGCAGCGAAAGUUGUGCUAAUACCGCAUACGUACUGAGGUAGAAAGUGGGGGACCUUCGGGCCUCACGCUAUUCGAGCGGCCGACGUCUGAUUAGCUAGUAGGUGAGGUAAAGGCUCACCUAGGCGACGAUCAGUAGCGGGUCUGAGAGGAUGAUCCGCCACACUGGGACUGAGACACGGCCCAGACUCCUACGGGAGGCAGCAGUGGGGAAUUUUGGACAAUGGGCGAAAGCCUGAUCCAGCCAUGCCGCGUGUCUGAAGAAGGCCUUCGGGUUGUAAAGGACUUUUGUCAGGGAGGAAAUCCCUAGUGCUAAUAACACUGGGGGAUGACAGUACCUGAAGAAUAAGCUCCGGCUAACUACGUGCCAGCAGCCGCCGCGG
rnacentral:rRNA from 1 species